rnacentral:rRNA from 1 species
GACGAACGCUGGCGGCGUGCUUAACACAUGCAAGUCGAACGAAGUCGCGCACGGGUGAGUAACGCGUAAUCCACCUGCCCUUCAGAGGGGUAUACCAGUGGGAAACGACUGCUAAUACCGCAUACUGACGGUGGGGUUUGCGUCGGAUUAGCUAGUUGGCGGGGUAACGGCCCACCAAGGCGCUGAUCAGGAGCCGGGCGGGGAGGGAGGACGGGCACAUGGGGACUGGGAAACGGGCCAGACUGCUACGGGAGGCAGCAGGGGGGAAUCUUCCGAAAUGGAGGAAAGUCUGACGGAGCAACGGCGCGGGAGGGAGGGCGGCCUUCGGGUUGUAAAGCUCUGUUAAUCGGGAGGCGGUACCGGAAUAGAAAGCCACGGCUAACUACGUGCCAGCAGCCGCGGUAAUAC